UGUAUCAUGUCAGGGUGUUGACGAGCAGCUGAAUGUUUAGAUAUGUUACAAUCACUAAACAUUCAGCUGCUCGUCAACACCCUGAUAUGAUACAA
rnacentral:pre_miRNA from 1 species